rnacentral:rRNA from 1 species
AUUGCCUCAGUAACGGCGAGUGAAGCGGCAAAAGCUCAAAUUUGAAAUCUGGCCCCUUUGGGGUCCGAGUUGUAAUUUGCAGAGGAUGCUUCGGGUGCGGUCCCCAUCUAAGUGCCCUGGAACGGGCCGUCAUAGAGGGUGAGAAUCCCGUCUGGGAUGGGCGGCCGUGCCCGUGUGAAGCUCCUUCGACGAGUCGAGUUGUUUGGGAAUGCAGCUCUAAGCGGGUGGUAAAUUUCAUCUAAAGCUAAAUACUGGCCGGAGACCGAUAGCGCACAAGUAGAGUGAUCGAAAGAUGAAAAGCACUUUGAAAAGAGAGUUAAACAGCACGUGAAAUUGUUGAAAGGGAAGCGUUGUCCACCAGACUCGCCCGGGGGGGUUCAGCCGGCACGUGUGCCGGUGUACUCCCCCCUGGGCGGGCCAGCAUCGGUUUGGGCGGCCGCUAAAAGGCCCCGGGAAUGUAGCACCCUCCGGGGUGCCUUAUAGCCCGGGGUGCCAUGCGACCUGCCUGGACCGAGGCCCGCGCUUCGGCGAGGAUGCUGGCGUAAUGGUGGUCAACGGCCCGUCUUGAAACACGGACCAAGGAGUCUAACAUCUAUGCGAGUGUUCGGGUGUCAAACCCGUCCGCGCAGUGAAAGCAAACGGAGGUGGGAACCCCUCGCGGGGCGCACCAUCGACCGAUCCUGAUGUCUUCGGAUGGAUUUGAGUAAGAGCAUAGCUGUUGGGACCCGAAAGAUGGUGAACUAUGCCUGAAUAGGGCGAAGCCAGAGGAAACUCUGGUGGAGGCUCGCAGCGGUUCUGACGUGCAAAUCGAUCGUCAAAUUUGGGUAUA